rnacentral:rRNA from 1 species
UACGGAGGAGGCAAGCGUUAUCCGGAAUUAUUGGGCGUAAAGCGUCCGCAGGUGGCACUUCAAGUCUGUCGUCAAAGACUGGGGCUUAACCCUGGAAAGGCGGUGGAAACUGAAGCGCUAGAGUGUGGUAGGGGUAGAGGGAAUUCCCGGUGUAGCGGUGAAAUGCUUAGAUAUCGUCAAGAACACCGAUAGUGUAGACAGUUUACUAGGCUCAAACUGACGCUGAGGCACGAAAGUGUGGGGAUCAAACAGG